rnacentral:rRNA from 1 species
ACUGCUCAGUAACACGUGGACAACCUACCCUUGGGACGGGGAUAAACCCGGGAAACUGGGUAUAAUACCCGAUAGUCCUCGACUGCUGGAAUGCAUCGAGGUCGAAAGCUCCGGUGCCCAAGGAUGGGUCUGCGGCCUAUCAGGUAGUAGUGGGUGUAGCGUACCUACUAGCCUACGACGGGUACGGGUUGUGAGAGCAAGAGCCCGGAGAUGGAUUCUGAGACACGAAUCCAGGCCCUACGGGGUGCAGCAGGCGCGAAAACUUUACAAUGCUGGAAACAGCGAUAAGGGAACCUCGAGUGCCAGGUUACAAAUCUGGCUGUCGUGAUGCCUAAAAAGCAUUGCAUAGCAAGGGCCGGGCAAGACCGGUGCCAGCCGCCGCGGUAACACCGGCGGCUCGAGUGGUAACCGUUAUUAUUGGGUCUAAAGGGUCUGUAGCCGGCCGGAUAAGUCUCUUGGGAAAUCUGGCAGCUUAACUGUCAGGCUUUCAGGAGAUACUGUCUGGCUCGAGGCCGGGAGAGGUGAGAGGUACUUCAGGGGUAGGGGUGAAAUCUUGUAAUCCUUGAAGGACCACCAGUGGCGAAGGCGUCUCACCAGAACGGACCUGACGGCAAGGGACGAAAGCUAGGGGCACGAACCGGAUUAGAUACCCGGGUAGUCCUAGCCGUAAACGAUACUCGCUAGGUGUCGGCCACGGUGCGACCGUGGUCGGUGCCGUAGGGAAGCCGUGAAGCGAGCCACCUGGGAAGUACGGCCGCAAGGCUGAAACUUAAAGGAAUUGGCGGGGGAGCAC